rnacentral:rRNA from 1 species
GAAGGUAAUAGUCCUGUAUGUUAAACGAGAAGACUUUAGAUAUGAUCCAGAGUACCACGGGACACGUGAAACCCUGUGGGAAGCAGGAGGGACCACCCUCCAAGGCUAAAUACUACCUAGUGACCGAUAGCGUAUAGUACCGUGAGGGAAAGGUGAAAAGAACCCCGGGAGGGGAGUGAAAUAGAACCUGAAACCCUGCACUUACAAGCUGUGGAAGCACAUUUCUUGUGUGACCGCGUACUUUUUGUAGAACGGGCCAACGAGUUACGUUAAGUAGCAAGGUUAAGCACUUAAGGUGCGGAGCCGUAGCGAAAGCGAGUUUUAACUGAGCGUUCAGUUACUUGACGUAGACCCGAAACCGGGCGACCUACCCAUGAGCAGGAUGAAGCGAAAGUAAAAUUUCGUGGAGGUCCGAACCCACGAGCGUUGAAAAGCUCGGGGAUGACUUGUGGGUAGCGGUGAAAUUCCAAUCGAGCCCGGAGAUAGCUGGUUCUCCCCGAAAUAGCUUUAGGGCUAGCCUCAAGGUGAGAGAUACGGAGGUAGAGCACUGAAUGUCCUAGGGGGUAUUGCACCUACCGAAGACUAUCAAACUCCGAAUGCCGUCAUCUUAUACUUGGGAGUCAGACUGUGGGUGAUAAGAUUCAUAGUCGAAAGGGCAACAGCCCAGAUCGUCAGCUAAGGUCCCUAAAUGUAAGUUAAGUGGUAAAGGAUGUGGGAUUGCACAGACAACCAGGAUGUUGGCUUAGAAGCAGCCACUCAUUCAAAGAGUGCGUAAUAGCUCACUGGUCGAGUGAUCCUGCGCCGAAGAUUUCCGGGGCUAAAACUUACUACCGAAGCUACGGCAUCAGUAAUGAUGGGUAGGGGAGCUUCCCAUACGGGUUGAAGCAUGACCGUAAGGACAUGUGGACAGUAUGGGAGUGAGAAUGUUGGCAUGAGUAGCGAGAUGUGGGUGAGAAUCCCACAGGCCGUAAACCCAAGGUUUCCAGGGGAAGGUUCGUCCGCCCUGGGUUAGUCGGGACCUAAGCUGAGGCCGAAAGGCGUAGGUGAUGGACAACAGGUUGAUAUUCCUGUAC